rnacentral:rRNA from 1 species
AACGUAGGUGGCGAGCGUUAUCCGGAUUCAUUGGGCGUAAAGAGCUUGUAGGUGGCGGCGUAAGUUGGACGUGAAAUCGCCCGGCUCAACCGGGCGGGGUCGUUCAAUACUGCGCGGCUGGAGGAGGUCAGAGGGAAGUGGAAUUCCUGGUGUAGCAGUGAAAUGCGUAGAUAGUCAGGAGGAACACCCGUGGCGAAGGCGGCUUCCUGGGGCCGAUCCUGACACUGAGAAGCGAAAGCUAGGGGAGCGAACGGG